CAUCCAGAAUGGUGCCACCCAAGGGAAUUUACUGAAUGCAACAACAAAAAAACGUUUUACUAAUAGGGUAAACGUUGCCUAUUUACGGGAACGCAAACGCAUAAACACCCAUCCUCUGUGAGGAUUGAGCAAUGCCACGCGGGAAUAGGCAAGUAAGAGUUUAACAACUUUGCAGACGAACAUUCACGUGUCUCUAAGUGAAUCUGAAUCCGUCAAUCCAAGGACAGACUGCACAUUUUAUGGAGAAACCCACUUGAAGACGGCCAGCUUCACACUAAGAUCGCAACAGAAAAGCGAGAGGUUGGACUGCUCACGUGAUGAUUAACUCAUGAACUGGGGGCUCUCUGGACUGAACAUCAUUUGAAUGCUGUUGCUUACCUUCUGCUACCCUCCGCUGACCCCAGUGAGAACAUUCUGGAAGGAAACUCUGUUUAAGUGAACCACAUGUGAAGGCAUGGGUCAAACCACUAGGAGAUGUCCCUACCUGGGGAAUUCUUACCUCUCCAUCUGUAGGAGAGAACAAACAACCAGAGCACAAGGCAUUAUCAAAGUAGACUUUGAUUUCAACUUCAAAUGAAGCUUGGAGCAACUAAAACCACUGCAACAAUCAAGACCUACUCCUCAUCUGCAGUCGCCGCAAUC